rnacentral:misc_RNA from 1 species
UCCGAGUUGACCCCGGCAGUCUCCUAUGAGUCCACGGCAUAACCCGCUGGCAACAUAGAACGAGGGUUGCGCUCGUUGCGGGACUUAACCCAACAUCUCACGACACGAGCUGACGACAACCAUGCACCACCUGUGCACGACCCUUGCGGACCCACCAUCUCUGGAGGAUUUCCGUGCAUGUCAAGCCUAGGUAAGGUUCUUCGCGUUGCGUCGAAUUAAACCACAUGCUCCACCGCUUGUGCGGGCCCCCGUCAAUUCCUUUGAGUUUCAACCUUGCGGUCGUACUCCCCAGGCGGGGUACUUCCUGCGUUAGCGCCGGCACCCAGGGGGUCGCUCCCCCAGGCACCUAGUACCCAUCGUUUACGGCGUGGACUAC